rnacentral:lncRNA from 1 species
GAAGCUGCUCGCCUUCUGGAGGGUAGGGAGAUUCCUUAAGCUGAAUUGCUGGUUGCCUGAGAAAACAAAGUGUUCCAUAAUGUUGUCAUUGCCUGAAAAAGUUUUGCUUUGUUCUGCUGUAAGUUUCUCAUGCUAUAACCCCCUUUUUUUUUUUGCAUGACUUCAAUAAAAGCUUUCAUUAUCUAAAAACAUAACCUGUUUUUGCAUGUUGAUAAAUGAGUGUAUCAAUCUAAUUGAUGCUAUGAUUACUAGGGUCUGGACCUCUUGGCAGUUGGCAUUGUACCUCCUAGGACUGGAUGAGAGGUACGUCUUGUGGCAUUGUGUUGACUAUUUAUUUCCUAUCCUUCAAUCUCUAAAUAUUGAACUCUGAAUGAUUAGAUGUUCUGCUACUCUCAAAUACUAGUGGUGAGGCCAAUGUGGCGAUAAACAAUGAUAGGAACCAAAGUGUCAGAUAAUGGAAGUGCACGUGAUAAUGAUAUUCUUGCGAGAAAGAAGCUAAGCAAAAACUAGCAUAUAUAACUGCAUUUCACCAUUGCAAGUUCUUCAAUGGGAAGGUGGAACAGAAAUGUACAGAAUAAAGGAGGAAUGCCUGAGAAACAUGAGAUGAGACAGAAUACAGAAUAGAGGAGGAAUGCCUGAGAAACAUGAGAUGAGACAGAACCACAAGAGAUGCGCACCUUG